AUGAACGCUGGCGGCGUGCUUAACCCCUGCAAGUCGCACGGAAAGGCUCCUGCUUGCAGGGGCACUCGAGUGGCGAACGGGUGAGUAACACGUGGGUGAUCUGCCCUGCACUUCGGGAUAAGCCUGGGAAACUGGGUCUAAUACCGGAUAGGACCAUCGUUUAGUGUCGGUGGUGGAAAGUUUUUUCGGUGUGGGAUGAGCUCGCGGCCUAUCAGCUUGUUGGUGGGGUAAUGGCCUACCAAGGCGUCGACGGGUAGCCGGCCUGAGAGGGUGUACGGCCACAUUGGGACUGAGAUACGGCCCAGACUCCUACGGGAGGCAGCAGUGGGGAAUAUUGCACAAUGGGCGCAAGCCGGAUGCAGCGACGCUGCGUGGGGGAUGACGGCCUUCGGGUUGUAAACUCCUUUCGCCAGGGACGAAGCGAAAGUGACGGUACCUGGAUAAGAAGCACCGGCUAACUACGUG
rnacentral:rRNA from 1 species